rnacentral:lncRNA from 1 species
AGAGGCUAAGGAGGCCAGACAAAAUAGCUUUAAAAUCUUUCCCCUUUCUUUCUCCUUCCACUUUGGAGCGGGUGGCUCCAAGCUGAGUCAAAGGAACAGAAACAAUUUUUUUUUCCAUGUCUGCUGGUAUUUGCUUCUCGCACAAUUAGCACACGAAGAUUAGAGAAAUGAAAUGAGCUGCAUUUUUCAGUCUGGGCUUGCCCUCUGGACAGGAUCUCCUCGCUCUUGGUCUGUGGGGUUCUAUCACAGCCUCUGUUCCACCCUGGAGAGAUGACUGGGCCUGAGUCUCUGCCAUGUCUGUCCAGGUCUUGCCAACCAAUGAGUCACCUCUCAGUCGACUCAGGAGGUCAUAAUUAACUGGCCAAGAAAGACAUACAUGCAUCCUACAUGCGUCUACAUAUGGAACGGCCUACCUAUACAUUUACAUGUGUGUGUCUGUCCUUGUGUGAACUGGUGGCCGCCCUCCUUCCUGUUGCCAGCCUGGGGUUCCUGUCGACGGUGCCACAGUGUUUCUUACGAGUCCUCAGCAUGACCUGGGAAGAAGUGGGAGGCUGGCUUUUCUGAGGCCAGCUUAGGUUCCCAUGGAAGCCUUGCUCUGAGCCAGACAGGAGGCUGUACCAGGCUGCUCCACUGCUUCGCUCAGGCCCUGCCAGGAAAGCUCCGCCCCCCGCCCCCUCCCGACCCCCGCCAGCAAAUCACCUUUGAGGUGUGACACAAAUCUUGCACGGAAGGAGGGAACUGUA